CUCGUAGGCGGUUCGUCGCGUCCGGUGUGAAAGUCCAUCGCCUAACGGUGGAUCUGCGCCAGGUACGGGCGGGCUGGAGUGCGGUAGGGGAGACUGGAAUUCCCGGUGUAACGGUGGAAUGUGUAGAUAUCGGGAAGAACACCAAUGGCGAAGGCAGGUCUCUGGGCCGUUACUGACGCUGAGGAGCGAAAGCGUGGGGAGCGAACA
rnacentral:rRNA from 1 species